CAGCACCUCAAGUGGUCAGGAUGAUUAUUGGGCCUAAAGCAUCCGUAGCCGGCGCUGUAAGUUUUCGGUUAAAUCUGUACGCUCAACGUACAGGCUGCCGGGAAUACUGCAGCGCUAGGGAGUGGGAGAGGUAGACGGUACUCGGUAGGAAGGGGUAAAAUCCUUUGAUCUAUUGAUGACCACCUGUGGCGAAGGCGGUCUACCAGAACACGUCCGACGGUGAGGGAUGAAAGCUGGGGGAGCAAACCGGAUUAGAUACCCCCGUAGUCC
rnacentral:rRNA from 1 species